AUGUUCUUUUUUAUUUACGUUGAAGUCAUUUUAUUGAAAUUUGCUAUUGUUUUAUGCAUUUUGUUGAUGUGGUGUUUAUUUGAAACUGUAAAUUUGCUUGAGAUUUAUUUGGGCUGUUUAUUUCUUUGUCAUUCAUCAAUGUCCCACUUGUUUUCAUGUUUUUUUAUCAUGUAUUUUGUCAAUACUUUACUUGGUUUCUUGCUAUUUCUCACUGAUUUGUCAAUGCAGUUUUUGUCUAUAUCUAACUUGUCUCCAUUUUAA